CCUACGGGAGGCAGCAGUGGGGAAUUUUCCGCAAUGGGCGAAAGCCUGACGGAGCAACGCCGCGUGAGGGAUGAAGGCCUCUGGGCUGUAAACCUCUUUUAUCAAGGAAGAAGAUCUGACGGUACUUGAUGAAUAAGCCACGGCUAAUUCCGUGCCAGCAGCCGCGGUAAUACGGGAGUGGCAAGCGUUAUCCGGAAUUAUUGGGCGUAAAGCGUCCGCAGGCGGUCUUGUAAGUCUGUCGUUAAAGCGUGGAGCUCAACUCCAUUUCGGCGGUGGAAACUACAAGACUAGAGUGUGGUAGGGGCAGAGGGAAUUCCCGGUGUAGCGGUGAAAUGCGUAGAUAUCGGGAAGAACACCAGUGGCGAAGGCGCUCUGCUGGGCCAUAACUGACGCUCAUGGACGAAAGCUAGGGGAGCGAAAGGGAUUAGAUACCCCUGUAGUCCUAGCCGUAAACGAUGAACACUAGGUGUCGGGGGAAUCGACCCCCUCGGUGUCGUAGCUAACGCGUUAAGUGUUCCGCCUGGGGAGUACGCACGCAAGUGUGAAACUCAAAGAGUAGUAGCGNGUGAGNGUUCGACGAGACGACAGGAGGAGG
rnacentral:rRNA from 1 species